rnacentral:tRNA from 1 species
ACUUAAGUAGUUUAAUGAAAAUUAUGAUUUGUGGUGUCAUAGAUGUAGAAUUUACCUUAAGUU